CAAUAGCGUAUAUUAAAGUUGUUGCAGUUAAAAAGCUCGUAGUUGGAUUUCUGGUGGGAGCGAUCGGUCUGGCGCUUAGCGCGAGUACUUGCAUCGUCUCCGGCCAUCCUUGGGGAGAGUCUGUCUGGCAUUAAGUUGUCGGGCAGAGGAUCCUCAUCGUUUACUGUGAAAAAAUUAGAGUGUUCAAAGCAGGCUUAUGCCGUUGAAUAUAUUAGCAUGGAAUAAUAAGAUAGAACUUUGGUACUAUUUUGUUGGUUUGCGCACCAAAGUAAUGAUUAAUAGGGACAGUUGGGGGUAUUCGUAUUCCGUUGUCAGAGGUGAAAUUCUUGGAUUUACGGAAGACGAACUACUGCGAAAGCAUUUACCAAGGAUGUUUUCAUUAA
rnacentral:rRNA from 1 species